rnacentral:rRNA from 1 species
GACGAACGCUGGCGGCGUGCUUAACACAUGCAAGCCGAACGGAAAGGCCCUGCUUUUGUGGGGUGCUCGAGUGGCGAACGGGUGAGUAACACGUGAGUAACCUGCCCUUGACUUUGGGAUAACUUCAGGAAACUGGGGCUAAUACCGGAUAGGAGCUCCUGCUGCAUGGUGGGGGUUGGAAAGUUUCGGCGGUUGGGGAUGGACUCGCGGCUUAUCAGCUUGUUGGUGGGGUAGUGGCUUACCAAGGCUUUGACGGGUAGCCGGCCUGAGAGGGUGACCGGCCACAUUGGGACUGAGAUACGGCCCAGACUCCUACGGGAGGCAGCAGUGGGGAAUAUUGCGCAAUGGGCGGAAGCCUGAUGCAGCAACGCCGCGUGCGGGAUGACGGCCUUCGGGUUGUAAACCGCUUUCGCCUGUGACGAAGCGUGAGUGACGGUAAUGGGUAAAGAAGCACCGGCUAACUACGUG